AUUGAACGCUGGCGGCAUGCUUUACACAUGCAAGUCGAACGGCAGCGCGGGCUUCGGCCUGGCGGCGAGUGGCGAACGGGUGAGUAAUACAUCGGAACGUGCCCAGCAGUGGGGGAUAGCUCGGCGAAAGCCGGAUUAAUACCGCAUACGACCUGAGGGUGAAAGCGGGGGAUCUUCGGACCUCGCGCUAUUGGAGCGGCCGAUGGCAGAUUAGCUAGUUGGUGGGGUAAAGGCCUACCAAGGCGACGAUCUGUAGCUGGUCUGAGAGGACGACCAGCCACACUGGGACUGAGACACGGCCCAGACUCCUACGGGAGGCAGCAGUGGGGAAUUUUGGACAAUGGGCGAAAGCCUGAUCCAGCAAUGCCGCGUGUGUGAUGAAGGCCUUCGGGUUGUAAAGCACCUUUGGCGGGAACGAAAAGGACUGUGCCAAUACCACGGUUCGAUGACGGUACCCGCAGAAUAAGCACCGGCUAACUACGU
rnacentral:rRNA from 1 species